rnacentral:rRNA from 1 species
AUUGAACGCUGGCGGCAUGCUUUACACAUGCAAGUCGAACGGUAACAGGCCUUCGGGUGCUGACGAGUGGCGAACGGGUGAGUAAUGCAUCGGAACGUACCCAGAGGUGGGGGAUAACGCAGCGAAAGCUGUGCUAAUACCGCAUGUGAUCUGAGGAUGAAAGCGGGGGACCGAGCAGCAAUGUUUGGCCUCGCGCCUUUGGAGCGGCCGAUGUCGGAUUAGCUAGUUGGUGGGGUAAAGGCCUACCAAGGCGACGAUCCGUAGCUGGUCUGAGAGGACGACCAGCCACACUGGGACUGAGACACGGCCCAGACUCCUACGGGAGGCAGCAGUGGGGAAUUUUGGACAAUGGGCGCAAGCCUGAUCCAGCAAUGCCGCGUGCGGGAAGCAGGCCUUCGGGUUGUAAACCGCUUUUGGCAGGAACGAAACGGUGUCCGCUAAUACCGGGCGCUAAUGACGGUACCUGCAGAAUAAGCACCGGCUAACUACGUG